rnacentral:lncRNA from 1 species
GAUCGGUGCUGGGGCCUGUCCUCUUCAAUAUCUUUAUUGAUGACCUGGAUGAGGGCAUUGAGUGCACCCUCAGUAAGUCUGCAGAUGACACCAAGUUGGCUGGAAGUGUCGAUCUGCCUGGGGGUAGCGAGGCCCUACAGAGGGAUCUGGACAGGCUGGAGAGCUGGGCUGAAGCCAAUGGGAUGAGGUUUGAUAAGGCCAAAUGCCGGGUCCUGCACUUUGGCCACAGCAACCCCAAGCAACGCUACAGGCUUGGGGCAGAGUGGCUAGAAGACUGUGUAGAAGAAAUGGACCUGGGGGUGUUGGUUGACGCUCGGUUGAACAUGAGCCAGCAGUGUGCAUGGGUGGCCAAGAAGGCCAAUGGCAUCCUGGCUUGUAUCAGAAGUAGUGUGACCAGCAGGAACAGGGAAGUAAUUGUUCCCCUGUACUCAGCUCUGGUGAGGCCGCACCUCGAGUACUGUGUCCAGUUCUGGGCCCCUCACUGCAAGAAAGACAUUGAGGCCCUGGAGCGUGUUCAAAGAAGGGCAACAAAGCUGGUGAGGGGUCUGGAGCACAGGCCUUAUGAGGAGCGGCUGAGGGAGCUGGGAUUGUUCAGUCUGGAGAAGAGGAGGCUCAGGGGAGACCUUAUUGCUCAACAUAACUACCUGAAGGGAGGUUGUAGUGAGCUGGGGGUUGGCCUCUUCUCUCGUAUAACCGGUGAUAGGACUAGAGGGAACGGUUUUAAGCUGCGCCAGGGAAGAUGCAGGCUGGAUAUUAGGAAAUACUACUUCUCUGAAAGGGUGGUCAGGCAUUGGAAUGGGCUGCCCAGGGAGGUGGUGGAGUCCCCUUCCCUGGAGGUGUUCAAGGAACAUUUGGAUGUUGUGUUGAGGGAUAUGGUUUAGUGAGAACCAUAGGUGGAUGGUUGGACUGGAUGAUCUUAUAGGUCUUUUCCAACCUUAGUGAUUCUGUGAUUCUGUGAUUCUGUGAAUUGAGCACUGUUGGAAGUGAUCCACUGUUCUGUAAUUU